AUUGAACGCUGGCGGCAUGCCUUACACAUGCAAGUCGAACGGCAGCGCGGGAGCAAUCCUGGCGGCGAGUGGCGAACGGGUGAGAAAUACCUCGGAACGUGCCCAAGCGGGGGGGAUAACGCCGCGAACUCUGUUCUAAUACCACAUACGAUCUACGGAUGAACGCAGGGGAUCGCAAGACCUUGCGCGCAUGGCGCGGCCGAUGGCAGAUUAGGUAGUUGGUGAGGUAAAGGCUCACCAAGCCUUCGAUCUGUAGCUGGUCUGAGAGGACGACCAGCCACACUGGGACUGAGACACGGCCCAGACUCCUACGGGAGGCAGCAGUGGGGAAUUUUGGACAAUGGGCGAAAGCCUGAUCCAGCCAUGCCGCGUGCAGGAUGAAGGCCUUCGGGUUGUAAACUGCUUUUGUACGGAACGAAACGGUCUUUUCUAAUAAAGAAGGCUAAUGACGGUACCGUAAGAAUAAGCACCGGCUAACUACGUG
rnacentral:rRNA from 1 species